rnacentral:snRNA from 1 species
GUGCUGGCUUUGGCAACACAUAUACUAAAAUUGGAAUAAUACAGAGAAGAUCAGCAUGGCCCCUGUGCAAGGAUGACACGCAAAUUCAUGAAGCGUUCCAUAACAAA